rnacentral:tRNA from 3 species
ACGCUCUUAGUUCAGUUGGUAGAACGCAGGUCUCCAAAACCUGAUGUCGUAGGUUCAAGUCCUACAGAGCGUG